UACGGGGGGGGGCAAGCGUUGUUCGGAAUUACUGGGCGUAAAGGGCGCGUAGGCGGCCUGCUAAGUCGGAUGUGAAAUCCCUCGGCUCAACCGAGGAACUGCAUCCGAUACUGGCGGGCUUGAAUCCGGGAGAGGGAUGUGGAAUUCCAGGUGUAGCGGUGAAAUGCGUAGAUAUCUGGAGGAACACCGGUGGCGAAGGCGGCAUCCUGGACCGGUAUUGACGCUGAGGCGCGAAAGCGUGGGGAGCAAACAGGG
rnacentral:rRNA from 1 species